AUUUUUUUGAGUUCUGGGAACAAAUGAGCUUGUACAGAGUACUCAAAAUAAAUAAGUUGUCCUAACUUAGUCAUUUUUAGCUAAGCUUUACUCAAUUUUUUUGAGGCAACGAGUUUCCAUAAUUUUUUUGAGUUCUGGGAACUAAUUAGAUUUUACAGUGUACAAGAGCUCCCAAAUUUGAACAUCAUUGAUGUUCAUCGGAUUUACAGAGUGACGACAAACCCCGUCAGCAUGUUAGAUAAAGGAUUUAAGUUAUAUGCUGCAUCAUAUAUACACAACUACGAAGUGUCCAAAAAAAACACAGGUUGACAGGGGAGGUCGGUGUGAGAGCCCUGUGCUACAGAUUAAGCUUCUGGAUUCAUCGCCAGUGCUCCUGUGUGGCAGGUGCUGUUAUGUGCAAUCACACAGUGGCACUGCUCUUCCAAACAGCACACUACUCACAACUCAGAGUGCCGGUUGUCCCCUGUGCAUAGCUGCACCGAAUCUGAACAGCAAUGGCACAAGCCACGGACAGUGGGUGUGAAGCCAGGACCUAUCAACUCUAUGAUCUUCACUAAGCCGGUACCAAAUAGGAUGGCCCAGACUGGAGUACGGAGUGGAUUCUACAGAGGCAUUGUGGGUCCAUUACCAGAUCCCUGACCUGACAAGCCCCUUGUGGAAAGUGCCUUUGGGCUGGUGCAGGAGGGCAGUGUUCUGUCAUGUCAGCAGCCGGUUUUGACAACCCGGUACAUCACACUACACCGUGAUGCACCACCAACACCGCACUUGCCUCUGGAGGGGUAUGACAUCAAGGAAACCCUGCUCGCUCAGACAGCCUGUGAUAUUUUCUCAAACCGCUGCGCUGAACAAGUUUCCAAAGAACAUGCUGUGUGACACAAUAAAUAUCCUUUAACCUGUUAACCUGUGGCUUCUGGAAGAAACUCGGGUGAGUCAGUCACUGCAAACACAUUUGUAUCAUCAAGUGUUUGUCAAAUGAAAAUGAUAUGUUUUUCUACACUUAGGAUAAUUUUCUAUGUUGCAGUGCAGUAAAGUGCAUGUUUCUUCUGUGUUCAAUCAUACAUGUUCUAAUUGUUAUAAACAGAAAAAAUCUUUUCUUACUUAACUGCUUGAUUCUUAACUUGUUUAACUGAAACAUGAUGAAAUGUCAUAGUAUUAUUUUUUUUAAAUGUCCUUGGCAGUGCAUGUGUCCGCAUUGUAACUUACUAAUAAAAAGUCCUGUGUG
ensembl:lncRNA